UGGGGAAUUUUGGACAAUGGGCGAAAGCCUGAUCCAGCAAUGCCGCGUGUGUGAAGAAGGCCUUCGGGUUGUAAAGCACUUUUGUCCGGAAAGAAAUCCUUGGCUCUAAUACAGUCGGGGGAUGACGGUACCGGAAGAAUAAGCACCGGCUAACUACGUGCCAGCAGCCGCGGUAAUACGUAGGGUGCAAGCGUUAAUCGGAAUUACUGGGCGUAAAGCGUGCGCAGGCGGUUUGCUAAGACCGAUGUGAAAUCCCCGGGCUCAACCUGGGAACUGCAUUGGUGACUGGCAGGCUAGAGUAUGGCAGAGGGGGGUAGAAUUCCACGUGUAGCAGUGAAAUGCGUAGAGAUGUGGAGGAAUACCGAUGGCGAAGGCAGCCCCUGGGCCAAUACUGACGCUCAUGCACGAAAGCGUGGGGAGCAAAACAGGAUUAGAUACCCUGGUAGUCCACGCCCUAAACGAUGUCAACUAGUUGUUGGGGAUUCAUUUCCUUAGUAACGUAGCUAACGCGUGAAGUUGACCGCCUGGGGAGUACGGUCGCAAAGAUUAAAACUCAAAUUGAAUUGACGGGGUCAUAGCUGUUUCCU
rnacentral:rRNA from 1 species